UACGUAUGGUGCAAGCGUUAUCCGGAUUUACUGGGUGUAAAGGGAGCGCAGGCGGCACGGCAAGCCUGAUGUGGAAGCCCGCGGCCCAACCGCGGGACUGCAUUGGGAACUACCGGGCUGGAGUGCCGGAGAGGUAGGCGGAAUUCCUAGUGUAGCGGUGAAAUGCGUAGAUAUUAGGAGGAACACCAGUGGCGAAGGCGGCCUACUGGACGGUGACUGACGCUGAGGCUCGAAAGCGUGAGGAGCAAACAGG
rnacentral:rRNA from 1 species